rnacentral:lncRNA from 1 species
CGUCCCUCCCGCUCGCUUCUUGACUCGCGUUGCUGCCGGCCGCCUCCCGCGCCUAGUGUCCGGGACGCGCCUGAACCUGCCGCCUCCGUGCCUGGGGUGGCGCCGCGCGGCCCCGAGCGCUCCAGAAAGCUGCGGCGCGAGUCCGCGGGGCCGACCUCGGAGACGCAGCUGGGGCCGGGCGCGGCUUGGCGGGAGGGUCUGCAGCGCCGAGGGAGGCUGCUGGUGCGUGAGGAAGAGAGCUAGAGACUGGACAGGGGAGGCAGAGCAGCGUCAGAGCCGCGCAGGGGACGGGAGUGAGAGCAGGAGCGACGCAGAGCGGCCGUCGCCGUGCCCGGGUCUCAGGGCGCCUGGCUGAAGUGAGCAUGGCUUCAGUGGCCUGGGCCGUCCUCAAGGUGCUGCUGCUUCUCCCCACUCAGACUUGGAGCCCCGUGGGAGCAGGAAAUCCACUGGCAUCUCCCCGCUGUCAGCCUCAGCCCUCUCCUACCAAAAUCUCUUUCGAAAUAAGUUCCAAUAAACGCCAGUGGCCAUGUUUGGAAAUUUAGAUUAUUGCAGGAUAACCAAGGGUAGCUUUCAGCAGUUCUCCUAAGCUGUCAUGAAAAGUUUGCCGUAGCUCAGUGCUGUUCUGCCCGCGGGCUCAAGGGUGGGUUGGUUCUUCACACACAGGGCACGCACAUGGGUUCAUGAACUCACUGUGCAUCAUGAUUCAGUUGCGCCUCAGUUAAUCCUACACUUGGUGUGCCCUUCCAAAAAACAAGCUCCGGAUUCCUUUGGUCAGAUGCUGUACCGUGUUUCAGAUUCAACUUUAAUCUGCUUUUGUGAGAAGGCUUUGUGAAUAAAACGUUGUUACUUAAAUCAAAAUCCUUGGGUCUUGUAAUGGAAACUGCCGUUUGGCUUAAACAAACAUAUAAAUGAGCUACUUAUAGAAAGGCAUGCUAGAGUAAUUGACCAAUCAACUGGCAAAAUACAACAACAAAAAAAGUCACUAGAGGUCACUCUUACUAUUGAAUAAACAGGGCUUCAAAAAGACCUUCCUGGAGAAAAGCAAAGCAAUGAAAUCUGAGUGAGACCCUGCCACCACCUUUCCUGUUUUUGUUGCAUAGUUGUGAUUACUUUUUAUUCUCAGGAUUAGUUGUAUUGGUAGUUAUUUUGCUUGGAAUCCA